UUCAGGGGAUAGCUAGAGUUUGAUUCUGGAAGCAUUUGUUUAAGCUGUGUUUGCAGGAAGAGAGUCCCUAAGAACUUUAACCCUGAGGUGAGAGUGAAGCUGAAAGUGGCCGGUAGGAAGAAGCAACAAUGAACUGAAAAAAAGCAGUGCUUAGCUACUGUUCACAGGGUCCAUGGUUUGGAAGCCAGAGUUAUGGGCAGGCCCAGUUCCCCUACCAUCUACAGUGGCAUAAGCCCCAGGAAGGGGAAAAUGCUUAUGGAGAGCUUGAACAAAGGGCAGAAUUUCAAGGACCCAGAGUUGGGGCUGGAGACCCUAGUGAGGGCAAUGGGACUGUUCUUGACUUUCCCAGAGGGGUUCAUUUGGACUUCGGGACUUAGCCAGAGGCCUGAGCCACAGAAGACUCACAGCUGGCAGGGUUCCCCAGGGGUGAGAAAAGGACUGUGGUACCAUAUCCAGCCACUAAGAGGCUCUCAAAAGGUCCUAGCACAAUGGGAAUCUGGUCUGUGACUGGGACUAUGAGGCAGUACGCAAUAGAAAUAAUCACAUGCUGAUCUACAGAAAUACUUUUGUACCCUGGCCUCUCCACUGGCUUAAGAGAUUAGUCACUGAAAAUGGAAGUAUGUGAACUUGACAUCUGCAGUUUAACUCAGUCCCUUCAUCUCCUGCACUGAGUGUUCUUUCUGCUCAGUACACGCUGUCUGAAUGCACAGGAGAACCGUGAUGGAUGGUGACAAAGAGCCUGGAGACUUUUUCCCCAUUUGAUGGGUCUUGUGGUGAGCUGGGUCAUGUAUAUGGACCUGGAGAAGAAAGAGGAGGUGGCAUUCAUUUGGAUGAAGAGGAAUUUUGGACAAUGGAUUAUGUCUGGAAAGGCAG